GCCUAAAGCGUCCGUAGCCUGCUCUGUAAGUUUUCGGUUAAAUCUGUAUGCUCAACAUACAGGCCGCCGGAAAUACUGCAGAGCUAGGGAGUGGGAGAGGUAGACGGUACUCGGGAGGAAGUGGUAAAAUGCUUUGAUCUCUCGAUGACCACCUGUGGCGAAGGCGGUCUACCAGAACACGUCUGACGGUGAGGGAUGAAAGCUGGGGGAGCAAACCGGAUUAGAUACCCGGGUAGUCCCAGCUGUAAACUAUGCAAACUCAGUGAUGCAUUGGCUUGUGGCCAGUGCAGUGCCGCAGGGAAGCCGUUAAGUUUGCCGCCUGGGAAGUACGUACGCAAGUAUGAAACUUAAAGGAAUUGGCGGGGGAGCACCACAAGGGGUGAAGCCUGCGGUUCAAUUGGAGUCAACGCCAGAAAUCUUACCCGGAGAGACAGCAGAAUGAAGGUCAAGCUGAAGACUUUACCAGACAAGCUGAGAGGUGGUGCAUGGCCGUCGCCAGCUCGUGCCGUGAGAUGUCCUGUUAAGUCAGGUAACGAGCGAGAUCCCUGCCUCUAGUUGCCACCAUUACUCUCAGGAGUAGUGGGGCGAAUUAGCGGGACCGCCACAGUUAAUGCGGAGGAAGGAAGGGGCCACGGCAGGUCAGUAUGCCCCGAA
rnacentral:rRNA from 1 species